rnacentral:lncRNA from 1 species
CCACAGUAAAGACACUCCCACACUUUGUCUACAAACGAGCUUCUUUUCACCAGGGCAGCCUGGGCGUGGAGAGGUGAAUGCAGCUGCAGUGGCCGGUGGAGAGGGAGAGGGCGGUUACCAGGGCCACAAAGACCCCUGUUAGGCAUGCGUCCUAACAGGGGUCUUUGUGGGCACUCUGCUUGCCCAAGACACUGGGGAGAAGUGGAAGUUGAGAGCAGGGCAGCGCAUGGGGAGUGAGGUGAGAAAAUACGCAGGAAACACUUAUUUCUCUAUGAAAAUAUGAGUCUGAAGAAAGUCAAGAGACUCUACAAACAUUUCUGCAGCCCUCUAUUGGAGAUUUGCAAAGGUCUGCAUGUGCACCCCUUUGGACGUCAAGGGCUUACUGAAUACCAUUUCCACACGGUCUAUCGCUAUGUCAGAGGGCAACUGCUCCACCAUCAUUUCUG